UUUAAGUUCAAAAUAUAUACAUUGUUGGUUCAUUUAUUGAUAGACCAAGUUUUCAUAAACUAAAUUGGUAAUAAUAUAAUUCUCAAAAGAUUUUCUUCGUUCCAAUUUUGGUAACUCUCCUUUGUGGUAAAAUCAAUGUGAAUAUCUUGAACAACUGGACCUACAUGUAAGUAGGGAUUUUCCCUCAUUUCUUUUUCUUCUUCUUCUUCAAAAAGUUUCG
rnacentral:misc_RNA from 1 species